UGAGUAACACGUGGGCAACUCUGCCCUUCGUUGGGGGACAACCGGGGGAAACCCCGGCUAAUACCCCGUAAUGCUUGCUGGAUCACCUGACCCGGCAAGGAGAGGUAGCUUCGGCCAUCCGGCGAAGGAGGAGCCCGCGGUACAUUAGCUAGUUGGUGAGGUAACGGCUCACCAAGGCUACGAUGUAUAGCUGGUCUGAGAGGAUGAUCAGCCACACUGGGACUGAGACACGGCCCAGACUCCUACGGGAGGCAGCAGUCGGGAAUCUUGCACAAUGGGCGAAAGCCUGAUGCAGCAACACCGUGUGAGCGAUGAAGGCCCUAGGGUCGUAAAGCUCUGUUGUUAGGGACGAAGGGCGAAGGGUUAAUAGCCCUUAGCCUGACGGUACCUAUCGAGGAAGCCCCGGCUAACUACGUGCCAGCAGCCGCGGUAAUACGUAGGGGGCGAGCGUUGUCCGGAAUUAUUGGGCGUAAAGAGCGUGUAGGCGGCUUGGUAAGCCUGCUGUGAAACCUUGGGGCUCAACCCCAAGCGUGCAGUGGAUACUGUCAAGCUAGAGGAUGGUAGAGGCCAGUGGAAUUCCCAGUGUAGCGGUGAAAUGCGCAGAUAUUGGGAGGAACACCAGUAGCGAAGCGGCUGGCUGGGCCAUUCCUGACGCUGAGACGCGAAAGCUAGGGGAGCGAACAGGAUUUAGAUACCCUGGUAAGU
rnacentral:rRNA from 1 species